rnacentral:rRNA from 1 species
AGUGAACGCUGGCGGUAGGCCUAACACAUGCCAGUCGAACGGCAGCACAGUAAGAGCUUGCUCUUACGGGUGGCGAGUGGCGGACGGGUGAGGAAUACAUCGGAAUCUACUUUUUCGUGGGGGAUAACGUAGGGAAACUUACGCUAAUACCGCAUACGACCUACGGGUGAAAGCAGGGGAUCUUCGGACCUUGCGCGAUUGAAUGAGCCGAUGUCGGAUUAGCUAGUUGGCGGGGUAAAGGCCCACCAAGGCGACGAUCCGUAGCUGGUCUGAGAGGAUGAUCAGCCACACUGGAACUGAGACACGGUCCAGACUCCUACGGGAGGCAGCAGUGGGGAAUAUUGGACCAUGGGCGCAAGCCUGAUCCAGCCAUACCGCGUGGGUGAAGAAGGCCUUCGGGUUGUAAAGCCCUUUUGUUGGGAAAGAAAAGCAGCAGGUUAAUACCCCGCUGUUCUGACGGUACCCAAAGAAUAAGCACCGGCUAACUUCGUG